ACAUUCCUCAGCUGGCCUUGGUGUAGUGAGCAUGCUCGAUGCUCAACCGGAAGCUAAGCCCUGCACCAGGAGCCUUAGCUGCCAUCUGUGCCUGCAGACUCUGGCUCCAGUCAACUGGGCCACGGCAACUGGAAGCAAAAGUCCUGGCAAGUCCUUCCAAGAAGCAGAAUAACCAUGGUGGCUGGCUCUGGGUCCCUAAGGAGAGUUGUGCCUUGGGAAGGAUCUUUUGUAGAAUGGCCUGCCGCACUGCCCCUGGCUUUUGUAACUUGCAGACUUCUGGAGACUGAUACAGCAGUCUGGAGGGUCUCCCUCGAACUGGAUACAGGCUGUCCAGUAAAGCCUCUAAUGGCUGUGUCAUCAUUUAUUUAACUAAGCCCCCAGUGAUGGACAUUUAAACACUUGCUCAUCGUGCAACUACAAACAAGGCAACAAUAAAUAUCCUUGUGCAAACAAA
rnacentral:lncRNA from 1 species